AUUGAACGCUGGCGGCAGGCCUAACACAUGCAAGUCGAGCGGAUGACGGGAGCUUGCUCCUUGAUUCAGCGGCGGACGGGUGAGUAAUGCCUAGGAAUCUGCCUGGUAGUGGGGGACGACGUUUCGAAAGGAACGCUAAUACCGCAUACGUCCUACGGGAGAAAGCAGGGGACCUUCGGGCCUUGCGCUAUCAGAUGAGCCUAGGUCGGAUUAGCUAGUAGGGGAGGUAAUGGCUCACCUAGGCGACGAUCCGUAACUGGUCUGAGAGGAUGAUCAGUCACACUGGAACUGAGACACGGUCCAGACUCCUACGGGAGGCAGCAGUGGGGAAUAUUGGACAAUGGGCGAAAGCCUGAUCCAGCCAUGCCGCGUGUGUGAAGAAGGUCUUCGGAUUGUAAAGCACUUUAAGUUGGGAGGAAGGGCAGUAAGCUAAUACCUUGCUGUUUUGACGUUACCGACAGAAUAAGCACCGGCUAACUCUGUGCCAGCAGCCGCCGUAACAC
rnacentral:rRNA from 1 species